GUGUAACUCAGCUGGUUAGAGCAUGGUGCUGAUAACGCCGAGGUUGCAGGUUCGAUCCUUCUAUGGCACAGCUGCA